GUUACUAAUUUGAUCCAAAGUAUUCAGUUUAUUAGAAGUAUCUGUAUCGAUAUCGUGGAUAUUGGCCUAAAAGUACUUGGUAUUGGAUUGAAAAGAAAAUAAGUGGUAUUGCACAUCCCUAACUGACGUCAUUACGUAAAUUAACUGGUGAAUCGUUUUUUUAACCAUUUCAUUGAAACGAAGCGUCUGAAAGAACGGUUCGCGGAAGAGAAGAGCCAAGUCGGUGCUCGCAUCGCGAAUUCAUCAUGAAGAAGAACUUCAUUAAGUCAAUUCACCCACAUCAUGUCUCUCACAGUUUACUAAAACAACAUAUACAAAAUAAAAAUACAGAAAAACAUUAUUAAUAUUGGGCUAUGAAGUAUUUUUAGGCGUAAUAUAUCCACAUAUGUAGGCAUCUCUUGUGGUCCACACAAUGUUAUAAACUUAAACUGGUCCUUGAUGAAUUAACUGGAACUUUUUAAGUCGGGAAACAUUUUUAUUGCUAAAGCAGACUGCAACUCUGAAAAACAGAUAGGCUAAACAGCAUAUUUUUUUAUUAUUAUUUUAUUUUAUUUUAAAAGCAUUGACGAGCUGCUUAAAAUACGUUCUUUCAUUUUUUUCCACAAUGAAAUAUACAUUUAUUAUUUCAUUUAUUUUGGGCAGAGAAAUGUUUUGUUUAUAAUUUAAUUAUAGAUUGGGUCCCGAUUAAUUAAUUACACGGUUUUUGGUGGGGUCACUGAUUUUUUCCUUCUUAAAUUAAAUCUCCUCAUUGUCCUUCUCGCUAUUGUCUCUGGUGUCGUUUGCAGAGAAGAAAAUAAAUGUUGUUUUGUCGCACGUUAAUUUGAUGAUAUUUUCAUAGUCUUCAGCAAAUCAUCUGAAAUGUGUCUGGAUCACUUAUCUAUAUAUAUAACUGGAUAGCUCAUGACGUCACAACAGUGAAGCUACUGCGCCGCCAUCUUGGUAUUCCCUAACGUUCUGUAUUCCUAUGGGUCUCAAUGGGAAAUCGUCUGUUUUGGUGAGUAAUUUGUACCUAUCCAGUCACAUUAAAAACAAUGUUUUACGUCUGCAUACACUGCAUCACAAUGCAAUCUUCCUAAAUAUGUAAUUCAUUAUUUAUUUUGACUUUCAUUUUUUCCCCCGCUUAUUCUAAAUGUGAGCGUGUUAUGUUACUCUUUAUUGCAGCAGCAUUACGUUCAGCGGCGCACGUGUUACCUCAAUAGAAACAAGUUUAAGAAACUGAGUGCACGCCUGAAACCGGACCAGCUCACGGGCAUCAUUUAUAAAGUGAUCAGUUGGAAUAGACGAGGAGCAGGGCUGGACUGGUAAUCUAGCCUACCGGACAUUUUUCCGGUGGAUCGACGCACUUUGGGGUCGAUCAGGGUGGACUGGCCAUCGGGAGAACCGAGCGGGCCGCUGUGUCGGCCGCGAUAAUCUAAAACGAGCCGCCGCUGAACACUCUCCCCCCAACAACUUUUGGGCCAGUUAUGUCAAAUCCCGGGCCGAUUUCUCUUUUCAGUCCAGCUCUGACAAGGACCACAUGGAUAUUGUUGAAGUUAAACAAGGUUGAACAUGUUUGCCUCAAGUUCCUUGAAUGCAGAACCACCAUGGAGAUCCAGAACCUUUGUGGGGACAGAGAUGGGCCUUGUGAGUGUGUGCUGUUGAAGAAAUCUCUCAGCUGUCUUGCAGACUUUCAGGAUGCUGUCUGACGGUCUUAUAAAUCCACCUCAGGACUUCAUGUCGAUCAGUGUGUUCAUCUUGGGAAGAGCUCUCGACACUGAGUGCUGAUAAACAAGUAGUGCACAGAAUCAUCUUCAUAGUGGUUUUAACUGCAAAGCCUGCUAUGUGCCCUACCACAGCCUCUUUGAACAUGGACAAACUGGGACGACAUACAGUGAUGUUUUUCUCUGUGUCUUCUGUUUCAGGCUGAACGUCACUGCCUGAAAUGCCAGCAUAUCAGAAGAUGUUGCCUCGAGUGUCACUGUGCUAUCCGGUGGAGAACUGUUGCCACUAGCUCUGAUGGCAUGUCUUGCUACCAUUCUUUUGAAAGCUGAAUAAUGUGAUAUUGUUGUUAAAUCCAUUAGCAGAUUUGUUCCCACAUAUCUGCAAAUUUUUAUUGUAUUGUUCAGUUUAAGUCAAUUUUUGUGUGUACUUGGAAGCUUUUGUUA